GGGACAGCCGCGCUCCUCGGGGCCGCUGCCGCUCACGGCUGCCCCCGCAGAGCUCCCCGGAGGGCACCGCCCCACGGCUCUUGCGGGGAGAAGCGGGCCUGCUGAAGAAUCCCAGAACCACCGAGUCUGGAAGAGACCUGCACACACGAUGUGUGGCUCCCGGUGCCUUUGCCAGGUCAUGCCAAUCCCGAGAGGCGAUGCCCAAGAGGUCUGGAAAAGAAGAUGCUGAAUAAGUCACUGGGGUGUUAACCUGACACAGACAGCUCCAGCAAACCUUGGCAGCCCUUCUGUGCACGGUGCAACUGGAAGUGUCUGAAACAGCUGGCAUGAGCUGACAGCUUCACUUCUGGGGUUUUUGUUGUGUUUCCCCUUUGUUGACUGUCCUCAGAGAUACAGCAGAGAAAAGACAAAUCCUGCUCAUCACUGCAACCCCACAUCAGAGAGCUCUGCAGGCAGUCAACAAGCAGCUCCUGGGCUACGUGGGGGACAGUCAGGGGCUUCACAGGGCUCCUCCUUUCCCCCUCGGACUGAAGUUCCCACAAGACCUCCGUAAGUCCCAGUGCCUGGAGUUCACAGAGAUCAUUUGCAUGCGAGGGGCGUUUGUCCAAAGGAAGAGACUCCGGGGUUUGGGGUCUCUUGUGCUGAAACGUGGGGUUGGUGAUUUGAGAAUGGCCAAAGCACAGUUUGUCAGUCAGGAAUCCUCCCUCUCUUCCUCCCUCCUGCUGUGCUCAAGGCUGGCUUCCUCAACCAGGCAGCACAGCUUCCCCCACAGAUUUUCUUCAGCUGUUGAAAGAAAAUAUUUCUCCCAUUUUUCUUAAUCAGAGAUUCACUGGAAACAUUUUAACUUUUCUGAAGUCCAGUCCGAGAAAUAUACUGCGCACUGAACAUUCCAGUCCCGCUUGCUGCACUUGGCAAACUGCUGAGCAAUUGGAAGAGGCUCAGCAGGUGAAAGGUUGAAUGUCCCAAGUGCAAUUGCCCGUGUUACCUGCACUGUUUAGAGACCAAACACGGCAUAUCCAGCAGCUGACUCACCGUGUUCCCUCUCUUCCCCGGUCUCCAGCUGAUAGCUCCAUCUCACUGACUGCCAGCAGCGAGGAAUUUGGCUUGCCAUGCUUUGAAUCUGUCAUUUCAUCAACUUCCUCCUGCUACUCCUGUGACCUUGGAGAAGAAGGGGCAGCCUGGCAUCAACCAGCACAACUCCUCAGAGUCCAGAAAGCGCAGCAAGAUGGUAAUGGGUACCCAGUUAUGCACAGAGGGGUUCUGGUAGGACAUCAGGUGAGCUCUUCCCGAAUGGCAGCCUCCCAGCCAAGCCCUACUAGGCUGUUUCUUGGAGUGAACACCCUCCAGAGGCCAGGAGUUCAGGACAUCCUGGGAUUCUGGGUGCAAUUUGCCACAAGCCCCGGCUCUUCUUGUGUGCUGUGAGGAAAAAGGCACUAAGCUUGCCGCUGCCCUUUGCCAGGGCUGCAAGGACAUUUGGACUCUGUCCCCGGGAUGAACUUGCAGAGGAUAUCCCCAGGCGUGGUGCAAGGAGGAGAAGUCUUGAGGGGGCCUGCGGGCGCGCUGCUGGGGCUGCAAGGGCAGGGCUCACCUUUGGGAAGGCGCCGCUUCCCUGUGGAUGCAGAGUGCCACCUACUGAGCCACCGCUCCUCCCGGCGGCACCCGGGCUUUUCCGGCAGGACAGCCAGGCUGGAGCUGCUGCCCGGGGAGUCCUUGCUCUGGCUGUUCCAUGAGGAUGGGCCCAGGGAACAGGGAGCUGCCCCAAGGGCUGGUGAGACCAACUGGCUGCAGCUCACAGAUAAGCAGGGAGCCUGUGCAGGGGGCUGCAUGCUCGGGCACGGAUCUUGGCACCUGCCCUGAGCCAGAGCUGGAUUUCCACAGGCUGGCAGGGAAGUGAGAGGAGAUGGGCACAGGAGCCCGGCUAGUCCUCCCUGGGCCUCGACCAUCACUUUGAAAUCCUUCAGCACAGACUGGGCUCAGACAGCACCUGGCAGCAGCCAGUGCAGGUGACAUUGGUGAUAUCUCUUUGCCCCUCUGAUCCCUGUCCUUGUUGGUGGGAUAGGGGGUGGCCAGCACACAGCCAUCGCUUCCCAGCUGUGCAGGGAUGAUCCAGAGCACAGGCUGGACUCGUGGAGGAGCAGUGCCACCCAUGCUGACAGCUGCUGGGCCUCGGCGGAGCGCACUUGGACAUCAUUUCUUCCAGGAGACUCUGAGUGCCUACUGGGAUCUUAUUCACUCUCUUUACUUUUGAUAAAACCCCAGAGAAAUGCGUGAAGAGAAAGGAACUAUCUGCAACACCAUCCCAUUAAUUUUCUUCUCUGACAUCAAAUGUUUAUUUUGGAAGGGCGGGCACAGCUGACCUGGUGUUUGAACAUGAGUUAUCCUUUCUCAUCCAUCCACCUGAGAACAGGUGGAAAAGGGUAAUGACUCAAACCGGAGUGGUGUCUGUCUGGGCAGUUCAGCAGACUUUCACUUCACUUGUGAGCUGCAGACACCACUAUCUGCUGCUAUCAGCAGCUCCCUCACAGGCAGGGAGGGAGCUUUGAAGUGAGGCAUGUGUGACUCCAGUUCCUGCUGAUGUAAAUCGAGAUUGCUGUGAUAAAGAGCAUGCAAGUGCAUAGCCAGGCUGUUGGGGAGGAAGGAAGGGAAAGGCCUGGAUAUUGCCUUUCUGGAUAUUGGUAGUUUGUUGGCCUCUGAGACAUGCAGGUGUUGAGGUGGCUGUGCCUCCCUGCUGAGAAAGCCCUUUAGCAAAGGAUCAUUUUCCUAAGAUGGUGACAUUCUCCCUGUGCUCCGCUCCUUUCCUGGAUACUUAACUGAAGCAGGGAUCACAUGAGCAAAACUUGUCCAGAAAGGGAAUAAUUUAUGCACUGUUCCCCCAGGAAAGUCUGCCCAGUGCUCUGACUCUGCAUUUGAGCAUGUCUAAGGAGGAAAAACCAAAAGAACACAAUCUGCUGGCCUUGCGAUGACAAGACUCGGUGGGAUUUUCUGACAGUUAUAUCAAUUCAAAUAUAAAAACAGACCCUCCUGAAAACCUAAGGGGUACCUUCUCAAACAACUUCAGCUCCAGGGACACAGAGCACUCCUGCUCCAUCCGAUGAAACACGCAGCAGCGCUAAGCAGCGUGAUGCGACCAAAUCGCAGCAGUGGGGUUUUACACCUGCUUUCCAAAGGCUUUCCUGGGUAGCAGGCAAUGGGGGAGGCAGCCUGAUCAUUUCAAAAUGCCCUGUGCCGUGUUGUGGCUCCAGUGCUGCCCCUCACUGGCUCUAGGAAGAGCUCAGCAGGAUGUGCCCAGCUCGGUUUUGAUUCAGGGAUGGGGUAACGUGCUGCAAGCCUGCCCAGCACAGCCAUCCUGCCGCCCGCUGUUAGCACACUGUCCUGGCCUUCAGCUGCUCUGGUUUUCACACAGCGUGCACUGAACAGCUCUCCUUUGACCCAACACAUCCUCCAGCACUCACCCACUCGUUUUUGUGCAAUGGCCCAACCUGCAAAUGCUUGGGGGCACCUCCUGACCCCAGCAGUAAUUUUAAGGGCCUGAAGCCAGGACGUGGGUGAAGCAAUAGUGGAUUUACACUAGAAUGGGGAGCUGUCCCUCAGCUAAGAAUCCUCUUCUCUAAAAAUACCACGUCCUGCCAUGCUGCACUGAAAAUUGCUGCCUUUUCUUCCAUUUCCCUGAGGCAAUUCACAGGAACUUCUCCCAGGACUCUCUGAAGAGGGCAGGCUGGUGCCUAUCCCCACGUGCACCCCAAGCCAGGCUCCCCAGGGGUACCCCAGUGCAAACUGGGAACAGAAGAACUGGACAGAAGGGGGAAGAUGCUUUAGAUAGGAACCUCUAGGGACACAAAGGCUCUGUUGUUGGAGCCAGUGCCUGACACUCCUUUACCUGGCAACAUUACUGCAGCCCUUUACUUUAAGAAUGACAGUGCUUCACCUGCAGUGCACGUUACUUUACGUAUUCAGCUUACCACACCACUCCAGUGUUGAGCACACUCAUCCCAUCACCUCUCUAACUCCAGUAUUGCAGCCCGGAGCAGUGCCUGGCAGAGGAGAGCACCCAAAGGUGUGUGGAGCCACUGGAUCAUUCUGCAAGGGCUCAAAAAGUCCUCAUUCUAAAGAGAAGAGGAAAAAAAAUGUUAAAAUGUGAAGCAGAAGAUAGCAGAAGCUGUGUGACUACUGUUCACUGAUUUUGGAGUUCUCCCAGCUCAAUCCCAGGAUGCACUGACUUGGAGACCAUGUGUAGUUAUGUGGGCAGGGUGGCUGCUGCAAAAAUGAUGCCUACACUUGGGAAAAUAGAGAUGUUGUUGCCCUAGUGUCUUAGAGACUGAGCUGAAAAAGAGCCAGAGGAGAAAUCUUCAAAUGAAGAAAAGCCUCCCCAAACCAGAACGCCACUGUAUGGUUGUACAGACAGAGUGGCAACAAUCUGGGCUUGCCUUGAAGGCUCUUGGCUGAGUUUGUUAUAUCCCUUCCCUCACCUUGGGGGCUGGGGUAUGAACUCACUGGGAGAUGUCUAUCACAGCUCAUCUGACAGCACAGACCCUGUGAGCUAAUUAUACAGUACUGCCUCUUCUGGGGGAGCCCAGCCUCACAUAAGGACUGGGAGCAUGUGAUGGGGAUUGAGAUAUUUCCCUGCUACCUUGCUCAUUAUUUCCAGUUGUGCCCAGAGCAGCAGAGAAAUAAAGGACAUGUGAGGAUUGUUUGGGAAUUUCCUCCUGGAAGUGCAGCUUAAGUCUUAGCUUUCUUGC